AGUCGAGCGAUGAGAUCACUUCGGUGAAGGAUUAGCGGCGAACGGGUGAGGAACACGUGAAGAAUCUGCCUUCAACUCUGGGAUAACUCCGGGAAACCGGGGCUAAUACCGGAUAUGAGCCUUGAUCGCAUGAUCGGGGCUGGAAAGUUUUUCGGUUGAAGAUGACUUCGCGGCCUAUCAGCUUGUUGGUGAGGUAAUGGCUCACCAAGGCGACGACGGGUAGCCGGCCUGAGAGGGCGACCGGCCACACUGGGACUGAGACACGGCCCAGACUCCUACGGGAGGCAGCAGUGGGGAAUAUUGGGCAAUGGAGGAAACUCUGACCCAGCGACGCCGCGUGCGGGAUGAAGGCCUUCGGGUUGUAAACCGCUUUCAGCAGGGAAUAAGCGCAAGUGAAGGUACCUGCAGAAGAAGCACCGGCUAACUAUGUGCCAGCAGCCGCGGUAAUACAUAGGGUGCAAGCGUUGUCCGGAAUUAUUGGGCGUAAAGAGCUCGUAGGUGGUUUGUUACGUCGGUUGUGAAAUUCAGGGGCUCAACCCCUGACUUGCAGCCGAUACGGGCAAGCUAGAGUUUGGUAGGGGAGACUGGAAUUCCUGGUGUAGCGGUGGAAUGCGCAGAUAUCAGGAGGAACACCGAUGGCGAAGGCAGGUCUCUGGGCCAAUACUGACACUGAGGAGCGAAAGCGUGGGGAGCGAACAGGAUUAGAUACCCUGGUAGUCCACGCCGUAAACGGUGGGCGCUAGUUGUGCGAACCUUCCACGGUUUGUGCGACGCAGCUAACGCAUUAAGCGCCCCGCCUGGGGAGUACGAUCG
rnacentral:rRNA from 1 species